rnacentral:pre_miRNA from 1 species
CAAAUACUCCCUCCGUCCGGAAAUACUUGUCAUCAAAAUGGAUAAAANAUGUAUCUAGACAUAUUUUAGUUUUAGAUACAUCUCUUUUUAUCCAUUUUGAUGACAAGUAUUUUCGGACGGAGGGAGUAGAAA